AUGAACGCUGGCGGCGUGCCUAAUACAUGCAAGUCGAGCGAACAGACGAGGAGCUUGCUCCUCUGACGUUAGCGGCGGACGGGUGAGUAACACGUGGAUAACCUACCUAUAAGACUGGGGUAACUUCGGGAAACCGGAGCUAAUACCGGAUAAUAUAUUGAACCGCAUGGUUCAAUAGUGAAAGACGGUUUUGCUGUCACUUAUAGAUGGAUCCGCGCCGCAUUAGCUAGUUGGUAAGGUAACGGCUUACCAAGGCAACGAUGCGUAGCCGACCUGAGAGGGUGAUCGGCCGCACUGGAACUGAGACACGGUCCAGACUCCUACGGGAGGCAGCAGUAGGGAAUCUUCCGCAAUGGGCGAAAGCCUGACGGAGCAACGCCGCGUGAGUGAUGAAGGUCUUCGGAUCGUAAAACUCUGUUAUUAGGGAAGAACAAAUGUGUAAGUAACUAUGCACGUCUUGACGGUACCUAAUCAGAAAGCCACGGCUAACUACGUG
rnacentral:rRNA from 1 species